GAUGAACGCUGGCGGCGUGCUUAACACAUGCAAGUCGAACGAGGUUACUGCAGUUGAAGUUUUCGGAUGGAUACAGCUUUAACCGAGUGGCGGACGGGUGAGUAACGCGUGGGAAACCUGCCCUGUUCCGGGGGAUACCAGUUGGAAACGACUGUUAAUACCGCAUAAGCGCACAGUGCCGCAUGGUACAGUGUGAAAAACUCCGGUGGAACAGGAUGGUCCCGCGUCUGAUUAGGCAGUUGGCGGGGUAACGGCCCACCAAACCGACGAUCAGUAGCCGACCUGAGAGGGUGACCGGCCACAUUGGGACUGAGACACGGCCCAAACUCC
rnacentral:rRNA from 1 species